rnacentral:tRNA from 1 species
GAAGGCAUAGCUCAGUGGUAGAGUGCAUGUUUAGCAUGCAUGAGGUCCCCCGUUCAAUCCCCAGUGCCUCCA